rnacentral:rRNA from 2 species
AAAACUUUCAACAACGGAUCUCUUGGCUCUGGCAUCGAUGAAGAACGCAGCGAAAUGCGAUAAGUAAUGUGAAUUGCAGAAUCCAGUGAAUCAUCGAAUCUUUGAACGCACAUUGCGCCCGCCAGCAUUCUGGCGGGCAUGCCUGUUCGAGCGUCAUU